GCAUGUAGAGGAUUUGGCUUGUACAUCUGUCCCCAAAUUAAUUGCCAGGGUUGAUUUGGCUGAUCUAAUUGGCUAGACCACUGUCUCUCUCACUGCUCCCUGGGUAUUUCUCCAUAUGGAGUUAUUUAAUUAGACAGAAAUAAAACUCCUCAUCCAUCCAUUCAACAAAGAUUUAUUAGUUGUCCACCAUGUGCACUGGGUGAGUUGCGGAGGGAU
rnacentral:sRNA from 1 species